AUUGAACGCUGGCGGCAUGCCUUACACAUGCAAGUCGAACGGCAGCACGGGGGCAACCCUGGUGGCGAGUGGCGAACGGGUGAGUAAAGCAUCGGAACGUACCCGGAAGUGGGGGAUAACGUAGCGAAAGUUACGCUAAUACCGCAUAUUCUGUGAGCAGGAAAGAGGGGGAUCGCAAGACCUCUCGCUUUCGGAGCGGCCGAUGUCGGAUUAGCUAGUUGGUGGGUAAAGGCCUACCAAGGCGACGAUCCGUAGCUGGUCUUAGAGGAUGAUCAGCCACACUGGGACUGAGACACGGCCCAGACUCCUACGGGAGGCAGCAGUGGGGAAUAUUGGACAAUGGGCGAAAGCCUGAUCCAGCAAUGCCGCGUGAGUGAUGAAGGCCUUAGGGUUGUAAAGCUCUUUUACCCGGGAUGAUAAUGACAGUACCGGGAGAAUAAGACCCCGGCUAACUCCGUGCCAGCAGCCGCGGUAAU
rnacentral:rRNA from 1 species